GUGGGGAAUAUUGGGCAAUGGGCGCAAGCCUGACCCAGCAACGCCGCGUGAAGGAAGAAGGCUUUCGGGUUGUAAACUUCUUUUGUCAGGGACGAAGCAAGUGACGGUACCUGACGAAUAAGCCACGGCUAACUACGUGCCAGCAGCCGCGGUAAUACGUAGGUGGCAAGCGUUAUCCGGAUUUACUGGGUGUAAAGGGCGUGUAGGCGGGAAAGCAAGUCAGAUGUGAAAACUGUGGGCUCAACCCAUAGCUUGCAUUUGAAACUGUUUUUCUUGAGUACUGGAGAGGCAGAUGGAAUUCCUAGUGUAGCGGUGAAAUGCGUAGAUAUUAGGAGGAACACCAGUGGCGAAGGCGAUCUGCUGGACAGCAACUGACGCUGAGGCGCGAAAGCGUGGGGAGCAAACAGGAUUAGAAACCCCAGUAGUCC
rnacentral:rRNA from 1 species